ACGAAGGGGGCUAGCGUUGCUCGGAAUUACUGGGCGUAAAGCGCACGUAGGCGGAUUCUUAAGUCAGGGGUGAAAUCCCGGAGCUCAACUCCGGAACUGCCUUUGAUACUGAGAGUCUCGAGUCCGGGAGAGGUGAGUGGAACUCCGAGUGUAGAGGUGAAAUUCGUAGAUAUUCGGAAGAACACCAGUGGCGAAGGCGGCUCACUGGCCCGGUACUGACGCUGAGGUGCGAAAGCGUGGGGAGCAAACAGGA
rnacentral:rRNA from 1 species